GAACGGACGAGAAGCUUGCUUCUCUGAUGUUAGCGGCGGACGGGUGAGUAACACGUGGAUAACCUACCUAUAAGACUGGGAUAACUUCGGGAAACCGGAGCUAAUACCGGAUAAUAUUUUGAACCGCAUGAUUCAAAAGUGAAAGACGGUCUUGCUGUCACUUAUAGAUGGAUCCGCGCUGCAUUAGCUAGUUGGUAAGGUAACGGCUUACCAAGGCAACGAUGCAUAGCCGACCUGAGAGGGUGAUCGGCCACACUGGAACUGAGACACGGUCCAGACUCCUACGGGAGGCAGCAGUAGGGAAUCUUCCGCAAUGGGCGAAAGCCUGACGGAGCAACGCCGCGUGAGUGGUGAAGGUCUUCGGAUCGUAAAACUCUGUUAUUAGGGAAGAACAUAUGUGUAAGUAACUGUGCACAUCUUGACGGUACCUAAUCAGGAAGCCACGGCUAACUACGUGCCAGCAGCCGCGGUAAUACGUAGGUGGCAAGCGUUAUCCGGAAUUAUUGGGCGUAAAGCGCGCUGUAGGCGGUUUUUUAAGUCUGAUGUGAAAGCCCACGGCUCAACCGUGGAGGGUCAUUGGAAACUGGAAAACUUGAGUGCAGAAGAGGUAAGUGGUUAUUCCAUGUGUAGCGGUGAAAUGCGCAGAGAUAUGGAGGAACACCAGUGGCGUAAUGGCUGACUUUCUGGUCUGUAACUGACGCUGAUGUGCGAAAGCGUGGGGAUCAAACAGGAUUAGUAUACCACUGGUAGUCCACGCCGUAAACGAUGUAGUGCUAAGUGUUAGGGGGUU
rnacentral:rRNA from 1 species